rnacentral:misc_RNA from 1 species
UAUUUACAGAAAUGCACUCCUCUUGUCUAUUCUCUACAGUAAAAUUGGACAUGCACUCCUAAAAUUCUGCUCUAAUUCUGUCUAAACCCAAAUCCACUACCCGGUUGGGUCGAGUACCUAAACCCAUACGGGUCAAGCGGGUUAGAGAAGUUCUGAGUCAACACGCUCGAGUUUUGUUGAAAUAACCCUGAGUUAUUAACUCUCUGAGUUCUUACUCCGCUAUGAACCUCCUCUUCAAAAGAGUUGUUGCCUGACUUUGAAUCCAUGUGUCCAAUUUGAUGCUGUAAUGAAGGGACAUAUAUGUCGUUACCGUUAUUCGUGUAAUUCACCAUCCCUUGAGUUUGAGCCUGUGCUUGCCCGCUCGGAACGAGUUCAGGCACCGCGUUCAACCCAGCUAGACUCGCCCAAUCAAAAUUACCAGUACCCAGAUUAUUGAAGUUGAUUUUCUCUUCAGGAGGUUGCAUUGCUUUUAGCUGGUUGGUGCCAGGAACAGCAAAGAAACGGUCAUCCAUCUCCGUCAACGUGUCCAAAACAUCAUCGAGAUGGGAAGAGGAAGAAGAAGAUGAUCCAUUGCUGCUAUGUUCCUUGGUAGAAACACUCGAAAUGGGUUUUUGGGCACCCGAGUUCUUCUUAUAAAUCCGACAUAGAACCCAAUCAUCAAGCCUUGAGCUUCCAUUUUUGCGAGAGGAUUCUAAGAGGCGGUACUCGUGCAUGAUCCAAUUCGUUUUGGUCCCUUUUGGAGCUUUUCCGACGUAGAACACUAAAGCUUUCUUGAUACCAGCUUUACGCCCCUCUGAUGUGAUAAUUUUAUCGGUACCAGUGGCCUUCCAAUACCCGGACCCUGCAACCCGAUUGGGUCGGGACCCGUUUGGAUACUUUCUGUCUCUGGGGCUAAAAAAAUACCAUUCUUUCUCGCCAAAAAGUGCUUUGUUUGGUAAAACCCAUGGAUCAAACUUGUACAAAUCAAUUUCACCAAUGAUUUGCAAAGAGAAUUGAUGACCAGCAACUUUCCUACACAAAUAUUGCACUAGAAGCUCCUCAUCGGUAGGGUAGAACCGAAAACCCGGUGGUAAGCUCAAUUGAGCAAGAGGAUCAGUUUCUUCAACUCCCAUUUUCAGGCCGCAAUUUGCAAUCUUAAGACAGAUGAAAGCAAAGAGAAAUGUUUGUCUGGGUAAAGAGAAAAUGGGACUACAAUUUUCUCUCCUUUUUCCUUUUUUUAUUUGUUCUCUGGAAAUUACGC